UACGUAGGCAGCAAGCGUUGUUCGGAGUUACUGGGCGUAAAGGGUGUGUAGGCGGUUGGUUAAGUUUGGUGUGAAAUCUCCCGGCUCAACUGGGAGGGUGCGCCGAAUACUGAGUGACUCGAGUGCGGGAGAGGAAAGUGGAAUUCCUGGUGUAGCGGUGAAAUGCGUAGAUAUCAGGAGGAACACCGGUGGUGUAGACGGCUUUCUGGACCGUAACUGACGCUGAAACACGAAAGCGUGGGUAGCAAACAGG
rnacentral:rRNA from 1 species